rnacentral:tRNA from 1 species
GCGGGUGUAGCUCAGUGGUAGAGCGCAACCUUGCCAAGGUUGAAGUCGAGAGUUCGAAUCUCUUCACCCGCU